rnacentral:rRNA from 1 species
GAUGAACGCUAGCGGGAGGCCUAACACAUGCAAGCCGAGCGGUAUUGUUUCUUCGGUAAUGAGAGAGCGGCGUACGGGUGCGUAACACGUGUGCAACCUGCCUUUAUCUGGGGGAUAGCCUUUCGAAAGGAAGAUUAAUACUCCAUAAUAUAUUGAACGGCAUCGUUUAAUAUUGAAAGCUCCGGCGGAUAGAGAUGGGCACGCGCAAGAUUAGCUAGUUGGUGAGGUAACGGCUCACCAAGGCGAUGAUCUUUAGGGGGCCUGAGAGGGUGAUCCCCCACACUGGUACUGAGACACGGACCAGACUCCUACGGGAGGCAGCAGUGAGGAAUAUUGGUCAAUGGGUGCAAGCCUGAACCAGCCAUCCCGCGUGAAGGACGACUGCGCUAUGGGUUGUAAACUUCUUUUGUAUAGGGAUAAACCUACCCUCGAGAGGGUAGCUGAAGGUACUAUACGAAUAAGCACCGGCUAACUCCGUG